rnacentral:antisense_RNA from 1 species
UUGGCCGUGAACGUCCAGUAAUCCUGCGUCUCCAGGAGCGCCUGGUAGCUGUAAUGGUCGCCGUCCGCGAGGACCGCGAGCACCGUCUCAUCGCCGUACUUGCCCGCGCCGAUCUUGUUGACCUUGCCGUGCGCGAUGAGGCAGAUGUGAUCGGCCUCCUUGCCGCGCUCGGUGAUGACGUCGCCGGGCUUGUAUUCACGCUGCACGAAGCGGUUCGCCAGCGCGGUGAGGACCUCGACGUCCUCGUAACCGCGGAGGAGCGGCAGCUCGCAGAGCUCCUGCGGGAUGACAUGGAUCUUCGCGCCGGUGUUCGUGAACGUCACCCGCCCGUCGCCCACCGCAUAGCUCAGGCGGCGGUUCACGCGGUACACGCCGUUGACGUGCACCCACGGCAGGAGCUUGACCAGCCACCGCGACGAGAUGCCCUGCAUCUGCGGCGCCGACUUGGUCGUCGUCGCGAGCUGCCGCGCGGCCGCCGUCGCGAGGCUGGUCUGGUGCUGAUCGA